rnacentral:rRNA from 1 species
UAAGGUAGCGAAAUUCCUUGUCGGGUAAGUUCCGACCUGCACGAAUGGAGUAACGAUAGCCCCACUGUCUCCUUCCGAGGCUCAGUGAAAUUGAAAUCGCUGUGACGAUGCAGUGUUCCCGCGGCAAGACGGAAAGACCCCGUGAACCUUUACUAUAGCUUGACACUGAACAUUGAGCCUUGAUGUGUAGGAUAGGUGGGAGGCUUUGAAGUGUGGACGCCAGUCUGCAUGGAGCCGACCUUGAAAUACCACCCUUUAAUGUUUGAUGUUCUAACGUUGACCCGUAAUCCGGGUUGCGGACAGUGUCUGGUGGGUAGUUUGACUGGGGCGGUCGCCUCCUAAAGAGUAACGGAGGCGCGCGAUGGUGGGCUCAGACCGGUCGGAAAUCGGUCGUCGAGUGCAAUGGCAUAAGCCCGCCUGACUGCGAGACAGACAAGUCGAGCAGAGACGAAAG